rnacentral:ncRNA from 1 species
CAUCGAGCGAAGCGCGUUAGUAACGCUUCGCGAGAGGGAACCCGGUGAGAGCCCGGGACUGUCCCGCAGCGGUAUGCAGGAACGACCGCCGUCAACCGAGCACUGGUCUCGCCGAGACCGGGAAGCGACGGCCAUUAGGUGCACCGGGGUGCGCGCCUGCGAGUCCGAAGACCUGCCAGCCGUGCCGGGCGCGC